GUAGGGUGAAUGGAUAAAAGAAUGCUAAACAGAUUUUAUUUUCUUUUAGACUUCUCAUCAGUUGAAAUUGGAGUGCAAUUCAAUGCAGGGACAACUAAUGCAGGCCCAGAAGAGUUUAAAACAAAAGGAAAAAGAAGAACAACGACUUCAGGGUAACAGAAAUGAGUUAAAGCAACUGACUGAACAGAAGAAAAAGCAAAUUGAAGCACUCCAAGGAGAGAUUAAAAGAUAGAACUUGAGAAUAAACUACAGCAGCAGUCAACACAAGCAGCACAGGAACUUGCAGCAGAGAAAGAGAAAAUAUCAGUGUUACAAAAUGCCUAUGAAAAAAAUCAGGAAAA